AAGAAAGAAGACCGUACAAGUCAGAGCGUGUGGGGAGAAGUUGCAGCGGAAAAAUGAAUCACUUGGUCUCAAUUCUGUCUAAUUUUUUUGGACAAGUCUGGACAAAGGUUGUUAGCAGCCCUGGGGACAUUCUGCCGUCUGUCCAGACAAAGGUAUUGAAGUGAGGGUCGAACACUUCAACGGUGAUCAGCUCGGUUUCUUUGGUCUCUCCUCCGAGGACGUAGAUCAGACCGUCCAGCUCCACCACGCCAAAGUUCUGACGAGCCUACGUAUACGAGAGUGACAUGAUAAGUUCUAAAUAACAACAAUAUAUUUUCCUGUUUUA